rnacentral:rRNA from 1 species
GACGUAGGGCGCGAGCGUUGUCCGGAUUUAUUGGGCGUAAAGAGCUCGUAGGCGGCUUGUCGCGUCGUCCGUGAAAACUUGGGGCUCAACCCCCAAGCUUGCGGUCGAUACGGGCAGGCUCGAGUUCGGUAGGGGAGACUGGAAUUCCUGGUGUAGCGGUGAAAUGCGCAGAUAUCAGGAGGAACACCGGUGGCGAAGGCGGGUCUCUAGUACGGUACUGACGCUGAGACGCGAAAGCUAGGGGGAGCAAACAGG